GCGCCGAUAGCUCAGCCGGUAGAGCAGCUGACUCUUAAUCAGUAGGUCGUAGGUUCGACUCCUACUCGGCGCA
rnacentral:tRNA from 1 species